AUCAGAAUGACGUGGAGAUAAGACCAGGUGCCUGUGUAUCCAGGGUGACAUUUGCUUCUCAUCUUGAUCAAAAGUCGCUCAAGUGUAACGUGACAGAUACUGAGACUGGAGAAACUCUGCUGUGUGAUGCUGGACCCCAGUCCUCGUGUCAGAAAACGGGAAGCACACCAGCAGGGAGAAAUGAUCCCCCAGGACAAGAUUGGUUGAGGUUCAUCAUCGUGUCUGUCGGUUUAGCAUAGCUCAUAAUAAUUGUGGUGACGGUCACGAUAUGGACGAGAGCUAAAGGGAACAGAGCACAGACGGAUGAUAAUGCAGUGCAUAAUGAUGAAGAUGAAGGUGUAGUGACCUAUGAAAACGUUGGAGAACCUUCUGCCUCCAUCAGACUCCACUGAUCAACAAGUUCAACAUCAAAACAAACUCGUAAAGAAAAGUAAAGAAACGUGUAACAUAAUAUUAGGUCGUUUCCUAUUUGUUGUAAAAAGUAAGUCUAAAUUGGCUUCAACUUUAAAAGCAAAAAAUUAAGUUUUUUCCAAGUUUUUAAACGU